CUUCUUCUUCUUCUUCUUCUUCUUCUUCUUCUUCUUCUUCUGUUUCUCGUGAUGCGCCUCUCUAGCAGAUCGGUCGUCGUCUUCAUCGACGUCAGCACACAGCUGGGCACAAACAGAAACGCGACAUUACCUUCCCUCAAGAGAGAGAACAUUGUUUCAAUGCUCCCCAAGUAGCAUUCGAUGAACAAUUAGCUGGUCGAUAUCCACAUCUGUUCGAAUGACACGGCUUCGUGCACACCACGUGCACAGUCUCAAGCAGACGCUGACGGCUUUGGGAGCAAAUGAACCAUCAGCAACAACCUCAUAGGAGACGGUGCUGAGGCGGCAAAGUACUAUACACGGUCCAAAGUUUAGCACAGAAGUUUCUCCGACAGGCCUCGCCGUCGCACAGUCUGGCCCCUGAAGCAAUGUGUAUCAGUGACCAGAGCUGGAAUGCUGCUGCGCACUACUGCUCAGCUCCGUGUGGAAGAGUACUGCAAUAAAGACAGCAUCUGCCUUUUGGACUCCUUCUGAAGGACAACAUUCAAGUUUUCAUAGAUGUCCGUGUGAUGCCAUAGUACUUUUGGGACCAAAGCAACACUAGAAGAAACAAGAAAAGAACACUGCUAUCUCUCAACUGAAUUGACCCAUUGCGUCACUCCACUCUUUGUACUAACCAGAUACGAGUAGCGUUUGUGUCAAGCAUGCCAUCCGCACAACUGCAAGAACUUUGUCAUCCGAACGCUCUCAUGACAGCACAUCGAAAAAACGAAACUCACUGGCAAACAAGGUUAUGUACGCUAAUGGACUGCAAACUGAAAUAAAACGCUUCUUAUAAUUA